rnacentral:rRNA from 2 species
AAAGUUUGACCUCAAAUCAGGUAGGAGUACCCGCUGAACUUAAGCAUAUCAAUAAGCGGAGGAAAAGAAACCAACCGGGAUUGCCUUAGUAACGGCGAGUGAAGCGGCAAAAGCUCAAAUUUGAAAUCUGGCGUCUUCGACGUCCGAGUUGUAAUUUGAAGAAGGCGACUUUGUAACUGGUCCUUGUCUAUGUUCCUUGGAACAGGACGUCAUAGAGGGUGAGAAUCCCGUGUGGCGAGGAUCCCAGUUAUUUGUAAAGUGCUUUCGACGAGUCGAGUUGUUUGGGAAUGCAGCUCUAAGUGGGUGGUAAAUUCCAUCUAAAGCUAAAUAUUGGCGAGAGACCGAUAGCGAACAAGUACAGUGAUGGAAAGAUGAAAAGAACUUUGAAAAGAGAGUGAAAAAGUACGUGAAAUUGUUGAAAGGGAAGGGCAUUUGAUCAGACAUGGCGUUUGCUUCGGCUUUCGCUGGGCCAGCAUCAGUUUUGGCGGUUGGAUAAAUCCUUGGGAAUGUGGCUCUGCUUCGGGAGAGUGUUAUAGCCCAUGGGAAUACAGCCAGCCGGGACUGAGGAUUGCGACUUUGUCAAGGAUGCUGGCGUAAUGGUUAAAUGCCGCCCGUCUUGAAACACGGACCAAGGAGUCUAACGUCUAUGCGAGUGUUUGGGUGUAAAACCCGUACGCGUAAUGAAAGUGAACGUAGGUGAGGGCCCGCAAGGGUGCAUCAUCGACCGAUCCUGAUGUCUUCGGAUGGAUUUGAGUAAGAGCAUAGCUGUUGGGACCCGAAAGAUGGUGAACUAUGCCUGAAUAGGGUGAAGCCAGAGGAAACUCUGGUGGAGGCUCGUAGCGGUUCUGACGUGCAAAUCG